AAAAAAAAAAAAAAAAAAGAGCCUCCAACUGUUCCCUCACAUGAUCACUGUCCAAAAAAGAGCUCAAGAUUUUGCCUUGCAUGAUCUUAGUUCUAGGUUGCAUAAAUCUCUUUUCUCUCUUCACUUCGCUUUUUAUCUUCGCAUCUAAAAUAACUAGUUUAUGCUGACUAAUUAGAGCCUCAUCAAGGAUAACUUUGCAAUUCGUACAUAUAAUUUUGUAAGUGUGAUUUCCUUUUCUCUAAAAAGUAUGUUUACCAAAACAAGAUCUUAAGCCAAAACAAAUUCUAGAAUGGUCUUCCCAUCCUCAUUUCUACUCCCAUAUCCAAAUCUUCCAUGCACCCGUUCAAAACUGUCAUUGCUACUGCCCACAUGUCCAUUCAAAUCUCCUUCAUUGAAAAGCUUGUAAUCAUUGGGAAUAUCUUGAACUAAUGCAUUUAUAUCUUCCCACAAUUUUAUUUUUGCUUCCUCAUCCUGACCUAUUUGAGGUGCAUAUGCACUGAUAAUGAUAGUAGUAUUUUUCCCAUGCUAUUUUCAAUGAAAUGUCCUUCGCCAGUUCUCUUCAAGAUGUGGAAACUCUUGCCUAUUUUGCAUCACAUUCAGCGCCGAUGUGAUGAGAUUAACUUCUUUACUCUCUCUCAUCCAUAAUGUGGGAACGCUUGCCUACAUACUGACACACUCAGGCAAUGAUGUCCUGAAACCUCUUGCUCAUUUAACGCUACAUCUAGUGCGUGCCUAGGUGAGCUCUUUCCCACGUUUAUAUGAAAAGGAUCUAUAUUCAUGAAAAUUGAUUGAGUUUUACACUAGCUGUCAACCUAUUGCAACUCUCCUUUCUCCGGGCUUGGGACCGGCUACACAAUGCUAAGCUCAUGUAGGCCUUGUAACUUCAAGUCGCUAAUUAGUGCAAUAUUUUCUCUAUCUGAAUUUCAGAAUGCUUCUUUGAGCUUAUUGUUCUAUUUUUCUCUUGCAGGCAUAGAGGUCCCAAAGUAUGUGGACACAGUUACUCCACAGUACAAGCCUAAAUUUGACGCAUUGGUAAGAACCAACAAUCCAGUUCUAAUUGUCAUAUACCAGUUUGAUUCUCUGUCAUGAUGUAUUCUUUUGUUUGGCUGUAGUUGGUAGAAUUGAAAGAAGCAGAGGAGAAAUCCCUGAAGGAGUCGGAACGUUUGGAGAAAGAAAUUGCCGAAGUUCAAGAGUUGAAGAAAAAGCUCAGCACCAUGACUGCUGAAGAGUACUUUGAAAAGCAUCCUGAGCUCAAGAAGAAGUUCGAUGAUGAAAUCCGGAAUGACUACUGGGGCUAUUGACCAUAUUGGC
rnacentral:misc_RNA from 1 species